CAAUAGCGUAUAUUAACGUUGUUGCAGUUAAAAAGCUCGUAGUUGGAUUUCUGGAGGGAGCGUCGGCCCGUAUUUACGAGUGCGUGACGUCUCUGUCCAUCCUUGCGGGAAGGCACGGCAUUGAUUUGUUGUGUCGGAUCGCAUCAUUUACUGUGGAAAAAUUAGAGUGUUCAAAGCAGGCUUUCGCUUGAAUACAUUAGCAUGGAAUAAUAAGAUAGGACUUUGGUGCUAUUUUGUUGGUUGAGCCUAAAGUAAUGAUUAAUAGGGAUAGUUGGGGGCACCUGUAUUGCGUUGUCAGAGGUGAAAUUCUUGGAUUUACGCAAGACAAACAGCUGCGAANGNGUCUGCNAAGGAUGUUUNCAUUA
rnacentral:rRNA from 1 species